UACGUAGGGGGCUAGCGUUGUCCGGAUUUAUUGGGCGUAAAGAGCGUGUAGGCGGCUUGGUAGGUCCGCUGUGAAAACUCGAGGCUCAACCUCGAGAUGUCGGCGGAAACCACUUGGCUAGAGUCCGGAAGAGGAGAGUGGAAUUCCUGGUGUAGCGGUGAAAUGCGCAGAUAUCAGGAAGAACACCUAUGGCGAAGGCAGCUCUCUGGACGGUACUGACGCUGAGACGCGAAAGCGUGGGGAGCGAACAGG
rnacentral:rRNA from 1 species